ACAGUGGUGGUUCAUUGGUAGAAUUCUUGCUUUCCAUUCAGGAGACCUGGGUUCGAUUCCUAGCCAAUGCA
rnacentral:tRNA from 1 species